rnacentral:rRNA from 1 species
UAGUCCACGCCCUAAACGAUGAAUGCUAGUUGUUGGAUAGUUCGCUAUUCAGUAAUGCAGCUAACGCAUUAAGCAUUCCGCCUGGGGAGUACGGUCGCAAGAUUAAAACUCAAAGGAAUAGACGGGGACCCGCACAAGCGGUGGAGCAUGUGGUUUAAUUCGAAGAUACGCGAAGAACCUUACCUGGACUUGAAAUCCCAAGAAUCUUUCAGAGAUGAGAGAGUGCUUGCUUGCAAGAACUUGGUGACAGGUGCUGCACGGCUGUCGUCAGCUCGUGUCGUGAGAUGUUGGGUUAAGUCCCGCAACGAGCGCAACCCUCGUUUUUAGUUGCCAGCAGUUCGGCUGGGCACUCUAAAAAGACUGCCUUCGUAAGGAGGAGGAAGGUGAGGACGACGUCAAGUCAUCAUGGCCCUUAUGUCCAGGGCGACACACGUGCUACAAUGGGAUAGACAAUGAGACGCUAAACCGCGAGGUGGAGCAAAUCUAUAAACUAUCU